ensembl:rRNA 5S_rRNA 5S ribosomal RNA
UAUUCGAGUUAGACUUUCAUGUUAAUACAGAUCAAGCAAGAAUUUGGCUGAUCCCGUCCCAUCUUGAAAGCUAAGCAGGGUCAGGCCUGGUUAGUACUUGGAUGGGAGACCACCUAGGAAGACCAGGUGCUGUAGGCA